rnacentral:rRNA from 1 species
AAUGUCUGGGAAACUGCCUGAUGGAGGGGGAUAACUGCUGGAAACGGUAGCUAAUACCGCAUAACGUCGCAAGACCAAAGAGGGGACCUUCGGGCCUCUUGCCAUCGGAUGUGCCCAGAUGGGAUUAGCUAGUAGGUGGGGUAACGGCUCACCUAGGCGACGAUCCCUAGCUGGUCUGAGAGGAUGGCCAGCCACACUGGAACUGAGACACGGUCCAG